GGACGAGGGGGCAGCUCGGUGGGGCUGUGGAGGUGCUGCACGACAGUGACACCGAGCCCCUCCAGGUUGGAGCCCCCCAAGAUCUGAAUCAAACUUUGCCAUUGCUUUUUCCAGCUGUUACUCAGCAGCUGUGGCUGGACCGUUAUGUAUCGGCAAUUGCAUCGUGAGCGUUCUGUGCUCGGCUAACCCUCUGUUUUAGGGAGAAGACAAUCCCGAGAGGAAUGGGCUGCCUGGAAAGGUAAUUCCAGCACGGGGGGGGUCGCGACCACCGAGCACCGACCCUUGCUCAGAACAGACCCAAAUGAGGGCACAGCUGUGCCCGCGGACCGAGCAGCACGGGAAGGGAGAGACAACCAACAAUCAGCGGCUUGAGCGCUCACGAACGGGAAAGGGAUGUCACUGUAACCAAGGGAUGCCGCUAAACGUACAAACGGUGCAAAGCCUCGAAGAUGGCGGAGCGGGGACCCCCACCCGGCUCCUGCUGCCGUGGAAUGGAAUAAAACGCAGCAAUCCCUCAGCUCGAGGAAGAUUUUUAGCUUGGAGAAUAAAAACCAUCUGAUUUCAUUCAGCUUGACUGAUUGCGCUGUACUUGAAACAAACUGUGAGAAGUUGUCACUCAGGAGAGGGGAAGGGACAGGAGUCAGUGCCAAAGAAACACGUGCGCAGUCCUCUUCCAGAUCCUCCUUGCUCCUGAUGCCAUGGAGAGAGACCCUUCCAGACCCCUCCUUGCUCCUGAUGCCAUGGAGAGAGACCCUUCCAGACCCCUCCUUGCUCCUGAUGCCAUGGAGACCCUUUGUACACACCCACCCGUCCCCUCCAGUCACUCCAAAGCUGGAGUUGAUUUAUGUCCCCCCCAAACACGCAGAAGAUCCCCAACCUCCUCCAAGCCCAACACUUCAAAUACUGACAAGGCAAGAAACACAGAGAGAGAGACUUGUGCCCUUCCAUGGGCUGUUUAAUAGCGAUGCACCAUUUACACCCACCGAGGUCCCAGUGCCCUCUCAGCGCGGGCUGUGGGUCACUAAGGCACUCAGGAGGGAGGGCAGGGGGGAUAAUGCACCGGGAAUGUUUCCACAUGGCAUCAGCAGCUCCUGCUGCAGCAGCUCCACCACAGGACUGUGCUCCUUGGAUUUAUGUGAGGGCGAGACGUGUACCUGCUCUCUGGGAAUCUGGCAACUUUGUCAUCACCAAUUCGCUUUUCUUACCCCCAGCUGGGAGCAGUCACAGUUUUCCCAUUGAUUUUGAGAAGGAAUGCUCAAAUUUGAGUGACACUGGGGAAACCCCACACUAUCAGUUCAUUCCCUCAAACUCACCCUGCUCCGAAGGCCCUCCCCUGGGAAGCCCAGCUGCUGCACCUUCCAGUUACAGCUGCAGGAGCCAGGCUCAGAGGAUUGUGCGUUACUCCAGUCCUACCUUACAGCAUUUUGUCCUCAAGAAAGUACCUUGAAUGUAAAUCAAAAUGCUUUGAAACAGCGGAAAUAAAUUAAACAAAUGUAA